GGACCCGCACAAGCGGUGGAGCAUGUGGUUUAAUUCGACGCAACGCGAAGAACCUUACCUGGACUAGAAUGUGAGGGAAUGUCGGGUAAUGCCGACAGUCCGGGAAACCGGACCCAAAACAAGGUGCUGCAUGGCUGUCGUCAGCUCGUGUCGUGAGAUGUUGGGUUAAGUCCCGCAACGAGCGCAACCCUUAUCAACAGUUGCCAUCAUUUAGUUGGGAACUCUGUUGAGACUGCCGUUGAUAAAACGGAGGAAGGUGGGGAUGAUGUCAAGUCAUCAUGGCCUUUAUGUUCAGGGCUACACACGUGCUACAAUGGCCGGUACAAAACGUCGCAAUCUCGUAAGAGGGAGCUAAUCGCAAAAACCGGUCUCAGUUCGGAUUGAAGUCUGCAACUCGACUUCAUGAAGUUGGAAUCGCUAGUAAUCGCAAAUCAGCAUGUUGCGGUGAAUACGUUCCCGGGUCUU
rnacentral:rRNA from 1 species